rnacentral:tRNA from 1 species
GCGCGAGUGGCCAAGUGGUAAGGCACCACACUCGUAUAUAACAAAACGAAUCAUGUGGGGAUCCAGGGUUCGAAUCCCUGCUUGCGCA